rnacentral:rRNA from 1 species
GACGAACGCUGGCGGCGUGCUUAACACAUGCAAGUCGAACGGAAAGGCCCUGCUUUUGUGGGGUGCUCGAGUGGCGAACGGGUGAGUAACACGUGAGUAACCUGCCCUUGACUUUGGGAUAACUUCAGGAAACUGGGGCUAAUACCGGAUAGGAGCUCCUGCUGCAUGGUGGGGGUUGGAAAGUUUCGGCGGUUGGGGAUGGACUCGCGGCUUAUCAGCUUGUUGGUGGGGUAGUGGCUUACCAAGGCUUUGACGGGUAGCCGGCCUGAGAGGGUGACCGGCCACAUUGGGACUGAGAUACGGUCCAGACUCCUACGGGAGGCAGCAGCGGGGAAUAUUGCACAAUGGGCGGAAGCCUGAUGCAGCAACGCCGCGUGCGGGAUGACGGCCUUCGGGUUGUAAACCGCUUUCGCCUGUGACGAAGCGUGAGUGACGGUAAUGGGUAAAGAAGCACCGGCUAACUACGUG